UUUUAGAAAUUAAUUUAAAGUCUAACCUGCCCACUGAAUUUUUUUAAAUGGCCGCAGUAUUCUAACUGUGCAAAGGUAGCAUAAUCAUUAGUCUUUUAAUUGAAGGCUGGAAUGAAUGGUUGGAUGAAAUAUUAACUGUUUCAUAAAAAUUUAUAAUAGAAUUUUAUUUUUUAGUCAAAAAGCUAAAAUAUAAUUAAAAGACGAGAAGACCCUAUAAAUCUUUAUAUUUUUAAAAUUUUAGUUAUAUAGAUAAAUUAAACUAUAAUUAAUUUAAAAUAUUUUAUUGGGGUGAUAUUAAAAUUUAAUAAACUUUUAAUUUAUAUUUAACAUAAAUUAAUGAAUUAUUGAUCCAUUUAUUAUGAUUAUAAAAUUAAGUUACUUUAGGGAUAACAGCGUAAUUUUUUUAGAGAGUUCAUAUUGAUAAAAA
rnacentral:rRNA from 1 species